CAGUCGCCACGGGAAUACGUAGGUGGCAAGCGUUGUCCGGAAUUAUUGGGCGUAAAGGGCUCGCAGGCGGUUUCUUAAGUCUGAUGUGAAAGCCCCCGGCUCAACCGGGGAGGGUCAUUGGAAACUGGGAAACUUGAGUGCAGAAGAGGAGAGUGGAACUCCACGUGUAGCGGUGAAAUGCGUAGAGAUGUGGAGGAACACCAGUGGCGAAGGCGACUCUCUGGUCUGUAACUGACGCUGAGGAGCGAAAGCGUGGGGAGCGAACAGGAUUAGAUACCCCUGUAGUCCCUGUCUCUUAUAC
rnacentral:rRNA from 1 species